CCAACGGCCCUUUUAAGGGUCACCCAUAUUUUACGAAAAGUUGCUU
rfam:Crassostrea gigas strain 05x7-T-G4-1.051#20 contig16246, whole genome shotgun sequence.